AGAGUUUGAUCCUGGCUCAGGAUGAACGCUGGCGGCGUGCCUAAUACAUGCAAGUCGAGCGAACGGACGAGAAGCUUGCUUCUCUGAUGUUAGCGGCGGACGGGUGAGUAACACGUGGAUAACCUACCUAUAAGACUGGGAUAACUUCGGGAAACCGGAGCUAAUACCGGAUAAUAUUUUGAACCGCAUGGUUCAAAAGUGAAAGACGGUCUUGCUGUCACUUAUAGAUGGAUCCGCGCUGCAUUAGCUAGUUGGUAAGGUAACGGCUUACCAAGGCAACGAUGCAUAGCCGACCUGAGAGGGUGAUCGGCCACACUGGAACUGAGACACGGUCCAGACUCCUACGGGAGGCAGCAGUAGGGAAUCUUCCGCAAUGGGCGAAAGCCUGACGGAGCAACGCCGCGUGAGUGAUGAAGGUCUUCGGAUCGUAAAACUCUGUUAUUAGGGAAGAACAUAUGUGUAAGUAACUGUGCACAUCUUGACGGUACCUAAUCAGAAAGCCACGGCUAACUACGUGCCAGCAGCCGCGGUAAUACGUAGGUGGCAAGCGUUAUCCGGAAUUAUUGGGCGUAAAGCGCGCGUAGGCGGUUUUUUAAGUCUGAUGUGAAAGCCCACGGCUCAACCGUGGAGGGUCAUUGGAAACUGGAAAACUUGAGUGCAGAAGAGGAAAGUGGAAUUCCAUGUGUAGCGGUGAAAUGCGCAGAGAUAUGGAGGAACACCAGUGGCGAAGGCGACUUUCUGGUCUGUAACUGACGCUGAUGUGCGAAAGCGUGGGGAUCAAACAGGAUUAGAUACCCUGGUAGUCCACGCCGUAAACGAUGAGUGCUAAGUGUUAGGGGGUUUCC
rnacentral:rRNA from 2 species